GUCGAACGGUAACAUUUCUAGCUUGCUAGAAGAUGACGAGUGGCGGACGGGUGAGUAAUGCUUGGGAACUUGCCUUUGCGAGGGGGAUAACAGUUGGAAACGACUGCUAAUACCGCAUAAUGUCUUCGGACCAAACGGGGCUUCGGCUCCGGCGCAAAGAGAGGCCCAAGUGAGAUUAGCUAGUUGGUAAGGUAACGGCUUACCAAGGCGACGAUCUCUAGCUGUUCUGAGAGGAAGAUCAGCCACACUGGGACUGAGACACGGCCCAGACUCCUGCGGGAGGCAGCAGUGGGGAAUAUUGCACAAUGGGGGAAACCCUGAUGCAGCCAUGCCGCGUGUGUGAAGAAGGCCUUCGGGUUGUAAAGCACUUUCAGUUGUGAGGAAAAGUUAGUAGUUAAUACCUGCUAGCCGUGACGUUAACAACAGAAGAAGCACCGGCUAACUCCGUGCCAGCAGCCGCGGUAAUACGGAGGGUGCGAGCGUUAAUCGGAAUUACUGGGCGUAAAGCGCACGCAGGCGGUUUGUUAAGCUAGAUGUGAAAGCCCCGGGCUCAACCUGGGAUGGUCAUUUAGAACUGGCAGACUAGAGUCUUGGAGAGGGGAGUGGAAUUCCAGGUGUAGCGGUGAAAUGCGUAGAUAUCUGGAGGAACAUCAGUGGCGAAGGCGACUCCCUGGCCAAAGACUGACGCUCAUGUGCGAAAGUGUGGGUAGCGAACAGGAUUAGAUACCCUGGUAGUCCACACCGUAAACGCUGUCUACUAGCUGUGUGUGCCUU
rnacentral:rRNA from 1 species